UACGUAGGGGGCAAGCGUUGUCCGGAUUUAUUGGGCGUAAAGAGCGUGUGGGCGGCUAGGUAGGUCCGUUGUGAAAACUCGAGGCUCAACCUCGAGACGUCGAUGGAAACCAUCUAGCUAGAGUCCGGAAGAGGAGAGUGGAAUUCCUGGUGUAGCGGUGAAAUGCGCAGAUAUCAGGAAGAACACCCGUGGCGAAGGCGGCUCUCUGGUACGUGACUGACGCUGAGACGCGAAAGCGUGGGGAGCGAACAGG
rnacentral:rRNA from 1 species